UAGUUCACAAGAGAGGACACGGUCACAAGAUCCAUCUACGAAGAGUUAUGCCGCACCAAGAGAGAGGAAUGACAGCCUUUCCACACACCAUGAGGAUUACCGUCAAACAAGGUUUCCAUUGAAUGGGUCAAGUGGACAGAGUGCAUUGACUACAUAAACCUUAAGAGAGGCUGGCUGAAGGAUGGAUCCAAUAGACUGGGAUGCUAUACGAGCAAUCCAGAAACAUCUGCACCCAAAUAAUCAAAAUCACAUAAAUAACAGCAAUGCCCCAAGAACUAAUGAGUGGGACACUUACUGUGAAUACUCAAGAAACACUGAUGGUGAAGCACACAGCAGCAUGAGAGUGAAUGUGGAACUGGAGCGACUGAGUCCUUCCUCUCAUAACUUUUAUAUUGAAGACUUAGAAGUCCAGGACCCAGACGGAGAACCGCUUCCAAUGGGUGAAGAAGAUCCAGAGCUCUCAAGAAAGAGGAAAGAGCUUAGAGAGAUAGAGGAGCGGAUAAUGUUUAAGAAAGCUGCUAUUGCUCUGAAAGCAGUUGAACCAACACUGCCAAACCUUUCCAGUAAUGCAGCUACAUGCAAAGGUGCAACUCUUAAAGACAGGGUUAAUGACAUUUUGCAGCAAAGAGAUCCUGCCAGAUUUAACUCAAGGGUCUGGUCGCGCAGAGAGCGAAUGCACUCAUCCACGCUGAUCAAAGAUAUUCUCCUGCAGAACAACCAUCCCUUGAAGCUCAGAGUGAAGGCGUUAAUGAAAAGUAGAUGUAGUGAUCCAGCACGCAGAGAGGGCGGGGAAAUCCCACCGCCUUCCCCCAGUCGAAGCUUUACCUCACCAGCCAAGGAAGAGAAUAUCGUCAACGAAGGUUUCCAGCGCUUCCUCAGCGUUCUCAACAAAGGAGUGGACAUAGACUUCCUCAGUAGGAUUGUCAACGAUGACGUUGAAGACCUCCCUUCAAGCGAGCGGCUCCUACACACUCAGCCCCCCGCUGUAGAGAAAGAGUCACAGUCACCCUUCAUGAUCCAGGGCCAGCAAUCAAGCAGUGAAGCCUCGCUGCCCGGCUUCAGUCAGACCAACAGAGACCACGAAACACUUUCCAUACCGGGCGAUGAAGAAAGGAAGAAUGACAGAAGAGAUAGCAGGUUUGAUUCUAGCAUUCAAUCAAAGUCACCUGUUAUAGUUGUGAAGGAAGAGGAAGAAGAAGAUAAACCAAAGGUGGAUGUGCAGCAUGAACAGUUGCAGGACAUUCUUAAAACUCUAGGGUUGAACCUGAAAGUGGAAGAGAUGAGCCAACUAGAAGACCAGACUCAGGAGAGACUUUAUGGGAAGAAGAUUAAAGACACAAGUGUGGAAAGCAGUGGAGCGCACGAGAGUCAGGAGAGUGGUCCCCAGAGAUGUUUCAGCAACGCCCCGUCAUCCCCCUCCUCCUCAAAGUCCAACAAGUCUAGAAGUCUAAGUCCCAGCCCCCCUCUGCGUCAAUGCUCCCCAAGUAGAAACCCGGAACAAAAGUCUGAACAGAGCUAUUCGAGAGAGAGGAGCAGAGACAGAAGCAGAGACAAUAGAAGAGACAGGAUUAUAGUUGGAAGCAGAGACAGAAGCAGAGACAAUAGAAAAGACAGGAUUAUAGUUGGAUGCAGAGACAGGAUUAUAGACGGAAGCAGAGACAGAAGUAGAGAAUGGUGCAGAGACAGAAGCAGAGACAGGAUUAGAGACAGAAGCAGAGACAAUAGCAGAGACAGAAGCAGAGAAUGGUUUAUAGACAGAAGCAGAGAAAGGAUUAGACACAGAAGCAGAGACAGAAGCAGAGAAAGGAUUAGAGACAGAAGCAGAGACAGAAGCAGAGAAAGGAUUAGAGACAGAAGCAGAGACAGAAGCAGAGAAAGGAUUAGAGACAGAAGCAGAGACAGAAGCAGAGAAAGGAUUAGAGACAGAAGCAGAGACAGAAGCAGAGAAAGGAUUAGAGACAGAAGCAGAGACAGGAGCAGAGAAAGGAUUAAAGACAGAGACAGUCCUACACGCAAAUACGAUAACCAGGACAGAAACGAAAGCUACAGAGCUAAGAACAACAACCAAAAAGACUCUUUAGGAAUCUCAACCCAUCACCAGCCACAAAACCAAACCAACCCCUGUCCCUACACGACUCAUUUGUCUACAUUUACAGAGUACAGUGUGUCCCAGCACUCCCAGCACACUGCCUACGAUAGAGGCACUUACAACGAUGCUGCAAAUUCUUACUGGGGACACAUGCUGGUUGCCGUUCCUCCCUCCCUUUACCCCGGCGAGGGUCCUUACCCCCUUAACCCUUACCAACCUGGCUCUUUCGGGGGGCCUCACAACGGUUACCCCAAUCACAACUGUUUUGUAAAUCCAGACUUGUCUAUAAGUGAAGGCCAAGCUGCAUCUUUUACGGGGAAACGCUGUCUGCAGGUCAUCAACAGUACACAGCCGUGUGUAGUGAAAAAGAAAAAAACGUCCAAACAGAAAUGGAAAGUGAAGAGGGCAGCCGAAAGAAAGAAGACUGAAUAUUUGGAAAGUAUAAUAGAGAUUCAAAAACAAAUGUUAGAAAAACAGAGGUUUGCUGGAGUGCCGAAAGCAGAGGCUGAGGUGGACCCUCCACCUUUGCGACCAAAGUUGCAGGAAAUUAAGAUCAAACCUGUCCCCAAACCCGAGCCGACACACGAGGAGAAACGGCAGCCAACAGAGAAGGAAGUCAAGGCGAACCUAAGGAAAACGGUUGGUGUAGUAUUGCUACAUCAGCUUCCUAAUCCGUGCCUUUACAGGAGGUGAUGCUAUUGAGGUUUAAUCUCAUUUGGAUGGGAUUUCAGUUUAUCAUGCCGAAAAGCCCUGCUCCUGAAGUGCUGAUUCUGUGACUGUCGCUUUAAAUGAACUAGCUCCUGCUGGCCACGCCCCUUUGGAGCUGCUGCUGGCCACGCCCCUUUGGAGCUGCUGCUGGCCUCGCUCCUUUGGAGCGUCAUGAUCUCUCUGUGAAGAGAGUUUUCUACCGGGAGAAACUCAGCUAAACUCUGCCGUGAUUAAACCCCAUAUGAUGUUCCAAACCACAUCCAGAAUGAUUUCUGAAACACUUGAAGCAUUUAACCAGAAGGUGAAGCAGAGAGUCCCACAGCCAGCGAACUUCCCAACCCCUCACACUGAUUACUAAGAUGUGUCAUGACUGCCUGAUCGUUUGAAGCUGCUGUGAGCCACUCUUCUGGACUUCAUAUUGAACAUACACAUUCAGUCACUGCUGAAGGAGGAUGUCGUACUUUAGUUGUAUUUCCAGACGUGAUGAAAUGAUAUUUUUGUGCUUUUUAUUACCAGUUUCCGUUAAGAAGUGGUCCUUAUUUCUGUGGAUAACACUUAUUGGGAAAUUUGUUUCUUUUUCCUUUAUGUGGUAUACAUUUUAUUAAUAAAAUAUGUGUUUUUCAG